GGGGGAGCAGUGAGGAAUAUUGGUCAAUAGCCUAACGGCUGAACCAGCAACUUGGGGGAAUGGAUACCCAAAAGGGUAGAAAAGAACUAUGUUCUAUAAAAUUCUAGGUAAAAUAAAUGAAGUGACAAUUUUUAUCUAUAUGUCUUGACCAAGUCACGUGCCAGCAGUCGCGGUAACACGUGGAAGACUAGUGUUAUUCAUCUUUAAUGGGUUUAAAGGGUACCUAGACAGUCGAUAAAGCCUAAAAUAAAAAAAAGGGACUAAUUGACUAGAGUGUAAUAUAAGAAGGUAGAACGAUGAGAGUAGAGAUAAAAUUUUUUGAUACCAUUUUAGACUGAUAAAGGCGAAAGCAAUCUUUUAUGUAAACACUGACGUUGAGGGACGAAGGCUUAUGAUAACAAACAGGAUUAGAUACCCUAGUAGUCGAAGCAGACAAUGAUGAGUGUCAUAUGUAAGUCUAAAGAUUUAUGUAUAAAUGAAAGUGUAAACAUUCCACCUCAAGAGUAAUACGGCAACGUAUAAACUGAAAUCACUAGACCGUUUCUGAAACCAGCAGUGAAGUAUGUUGUAUAAUUUGAUAACCCACGGAAAACCUUACCACAAUAUGAAUAUUUAUAUCUUAAUAUAAUUACAGGUGUUGCACGGCUGUCUUCAGUUAAUGUCGUGAGAUUUUGGUUAGUUCCAUUAAAUUAACGUAAACCCUUACUUUAUUUGUUAUAGAGUAGAUCGUCGCUAUAUUGAAUUGUGAUAAGAGGGACUAAGACAAGUCAUCAUGGCUCUAACAUUGUGGGCUAUAGACGUGCC
rnacentral:rRNA from 1 species